UCUAGCAGCUAUCCAUACCUGCUGACAUUUAGGUUUCACUGUCGUGCCCUGACAUUUUGACCACAGCUAACGUUAACUUAGGCCCCUGGCCCGUCCGCCUGCACACGCCCCUUGGAUCGGGGUGUGGGUUGCCAGGUUGCGGUAACAGAUGGGUUGAAAUUGUAGUGUGUGGAUUAUGUGUUUCAUAGACGGUCUGGCAACUCGGGUGACAUCAGAAAAACAUUCAAAACUUGGAUCCCUGAAUUCACAAUAAAGUUCGAGGACCAUGCAAAUUACGUGAGUUACCCGGGAGAAGCAGCAAGACGGGAGGGCGCCGGGGAGAAACCCGGGAAAAACAAGAGUGUUGGCAGUGUUUGUGGCUCCGGGGAUCGCACUGGACCGGCCCUGCAACAGAUGUUCGACCAGCAGAGGUCAGCAAACUGAAGCGCUUCAGCUGCAGAGAGAGUUGCCGGAGCCAAGUCUCUGUCCUGCAGCAGGAGAGGAGAGAGGAGACAAAACACCGAGUGGUAGUUUGACACGAAGCCAGAGGAGAGAGAUGAGGAGGAGGAGGGAGGAGGAGGAGG